rnacentral:rRNA from 1 species
UAAACGACUCUCGGCAACGGAUAUCUCGGCUCACGCAUCGAUGAAGAACGUAGCAAAAUGCGAUACUUGGUGUGAAUUGCAGAAUCCCGUGAACCAUCGAGUUUUUGAACGCAAGUUGCGCCCGAAGCCUUUUGGUUGAGGGCACGUCUGCCUGGGCGUCACGU